GGUGGCAGCAUGGGACAUCUGAGAGAAACACAGUGUUACAAAUGUCAGUCCCACAUUUUAAAAUGAAUGUGUUAUUGGCACUUGAAUGACGGGUUAGACAGCACCUUGACCCCAGCGAGGAUCCCUGUGGUAGAAACACUGAAGUCCAGGAGGAUAAACGAGUGCCACAUGGUCUCCAGCGUUAAGUCGGCCUUUUUCCAUCAGCGCUACGGCCACACGCUCUGCUCGCUUGUGCAGCUGUACACACGAGGCUGUGUUGGCCACAGUGCCCUGAAAAAACACAAAUUUAAAAGAUAUAAGAUGACAGUAAAUAUACACAAUCUGACUCUGAAGGCUGGGAUGAUGAGUUUUGUACCUUGGCGUUGAGCAGCAGAAACAGAGGGUGAUCUGGUGUGGCCUGAGCUCUCCACUGCAGAACAUCCGGCAUAUACAGGAACUACGAGACGAGAGACGACACAUUCACACAACACUACACUUCAAGAUCACGCAGUGUCCUAAAGAAGUGCACUUCACUGUAUCGAAUGUGCACGUGUAGUGUACUUCAAAUCUUAGAAGUACAUUCUACUUGUAGAUAUUACAAUAUUAAUGAAAUAAAAUAUCAAUUUCUAUUAUAAUACAUUUAAAUACAAGUAACGUGCAGUUAAGUGUCUGAAAAUAUUACAUUCAGUUCACAUCUAAGUAUAUUCUCUUAAAAUAUAAUAUUUCCAUAAUAAUGUCUCUUUUUAAAAAAUAUGCUAAAUGUACUUCUUUUUCUCCAGUGACCAGGUUUGGGUUGAUCUUUACCUGCUCGUUGUCUUCCAGCUGUGAAACAUCUCUCCCACAGGCCUGUGCAAUCCUCUUUCCUGCCACUAGGUUUCCAACUAUCAUGGAAGCAGGACCCACCUCUGAAACAAAAGAGUCAACAGGUUUGGGCAGGUUGGUGACACAGGUAUGAGGACACAUGAGGACGUUGCAGGGGUGCAGGGCUCCCUCCAGGAAGCGCUGUUUGGUCUCUGAGAUGUGGAUGCCGCCCAGAGGAGCUUUGGGGAGUGUGUUAGCUGGCACCAGAGCCAGACAGUACACUCCCACCUGAUGGAUGCUGUCGAUAGCCUGAGAGUGAGACAGAAAGUGCUUAAGAAAAUAUGCAUCACACGGCUCAUCCACUGGAAGCUGUCCUCCUCUGAGCCGUCUGGCCUCUGUUCUGCCACCACAACUAUGCGUUCAUCACGCAGCACUGAUACAGAGAACACCGCAAUCCUGCAAGAGAACAGCGAUG